ACAGCCUUAUCAAGUUGAAAUACCGUUUCCCAUAUAAUCACUGAAGUUAAGCAAUGUUGAACCUGGUCAGUACCAAGAUGGGUGACCACUUGAGAAUACCAGGUGCUGUAAG